rnacentral:rRNA from 1 species
GACGAACGCUGGCGGCGUGCUUAACACAUGCAAGUCGAACGGACAGACAGAGAGCUUGCUCUCUUGAAGUUAGUGGCGAACGGGUGAGUAACGCGUAAUCAAGCUGCCCUUCAGAGGGGGAUAACAACGGAAAACAGUUGCUAAUAACGCGUACGAUUAAUGAACGGCAACGGUUAUGAAUGAAAGGUGGCCUCUAUGUAUAAGCUAUCGCUGAAGGAAGGGACUUCGUCUGAUUAGCUAGUUGGAGGGGUAACGUCCCACCAAGGCAAUGAUCAGUAGCCGGUCUGAGAGGAUGAACGGCCACAGUGUGACUGAGACACGGCCCAAACUCCUACGGGAGGCAGCAGUAGGGAAUCUUCCGCAAUGGACGAAAGUCUGACGGAGCAACGUCGAGUGAGUGAUGAAGGUCUUCGGAUUGUAAAGCUCUGUUGAUCGGGACGAAAGAGUUCUGCGUGAAUAAUGCAGAAAAGUGACGGUACAGGAAUAGAAAGCCACGGCUAACUACGUGCCAGCCGCCGCCGUAA